rnacentral:rRNA from 1 species
UACAGAGGUCUCAAGCGUUAAUCGGAGUCACUGGGCUUAAAGGGUGCGUAGGCGGACUCGCAAGUGCUUUGUGAAAUCCCACGGCUCAACCGUGGAAUUGCUUGGCAGACUGCGGGUCUUGAGGUUGGUAGGGGCCGCCGGAACUCUAGGUGGAGCGGUGAAAUGCGUAGAUAUCUAGAGGAACGCCAAAGGUGAAGACAGGCGGCUGGGCCAAAUCUGACGCUGAGGCACGAAAGCGUGGGGAGCGAACGGG